UGCAAGUCGAACGAAGUAGCAAUACUUAGUGGCAGACGGGUGAGUAACAUGUAGGUAUCUACCCUUUGGCCUGGAAUAACACGAGGAAACUUGUGCUAAUACCGGAUAAGUCUUUACGGAGAAAGCUUUAUGCACCAUUGGAUGAGCCUGCACUUGAUUAGUUUGUUGGUGGGGUAAUGGCCUACCAAGACUGUGAUCAAUAGCUGAUUUGAGAGGAUGAUCAGCCACAUUGGGACUGAGACACGGCCCAAACUCCUACGGGAGGCAGCAGCGGGGAAUCUUGCACAACGGAGGAAACUCUGAUGCAGCGAUGCCGCGUGAGUGAAGAAGGCCCUUGGGUUGUAAAGCUCUUUCGUCGGGGAAGAAAAUGACUGUACCCGAAUAAGAAGGUCCGGCUAACUUCGUGCCAGCAGCCGCGGUAAUACGAAGGGACCUAGCGUAGUUCGGAAUUACUGGGCUUAAAGAGUUCGUAGGUGGUUGAAAAAGUUAGUGGUGAAAUCCCAGAGCUUAACUCUGGAACUGCCAUUAAAACUUUUCAGCUAGAGUAUGAUAGAGGAAAGCAGAAUUUCUAGUGUAGAGGUGAAAUUCGUAGAUAUUAGAAAG
rnacentral:rRNA from 1 species